UACAGAGGUCUCAAGCGUUGUUCGGAUUCAUUGGGCGUAAAGGGUGCGCAGGCGGCCAAGUGUGUGAGGCGUGAAAGCCCGGUGCUUAACACCGGAAUUGCACCUCAAACUACAUGGCUAGAGUACUGGAGAGGGUAACGGAAUUCACGGUGUAGCAGUGAAAUGCGUAGAUAUCGUGAGGAACACCAGAGGCGAAGGCGGUUACCUGGACAGUUACUGACGCUCAGGCACGAAAGCGUGGGGAGCAAAAGGG
rnacentral:rRNA from 1 species